AAAUUGAAGAGUUUGAUCAUGGCUCAGAUUGAACGCUGGCGGCAGGCCUAACACAUGCAAGUCGAGCGGAAACGACAACAUUGACUCUUCGGAGGAUUUGUUGGGCGUCGAGCGGCGGACGGGUGAGUAAUGCCUAGGAAAUUGCCUUGAUGUGGGGGAUAACCAUUGGAAACGAUGGCUAAUACCGCAUGAUGCCUACGGGCCAAAGAGGGGGACCUUCGGGCCUCUCGCGUCAAGAUAUGCCUAGGUGGGAUUAGCUAGUUGGUGAGGUAAUGGCUCACCAAGGCGACGAUCCCUAGCUGGUCUGAGAGGAUGAUCAGCCACACUGGAACUGAGACACGGUCCAGACUCCUACGGGAGGCAGCAGUGGGGAAUAUUGCACAAUGGGCGAAAGCCUGA
rnacentral:rRNA from 1 species